rnacentral:rRNA from 1 species
AUACGGAGGGUGCAAGCGUUGUUCGGAAUUAUUGGGCGUAAAGCGCGUGUAGGCGGUCUUUUAAGUCUGAUGUGAAAGCCCCGGGCUCAACCUGGGAAGUGCAUUGGAAACUGGGAGACUUGAGUACGGGAGAGGAGAGUGGAAUUCCUAGUGUAGGAGUGAAAUCCGUAGAUAUUAGGAGGAACACCGGUGGCGAAGGCGGCUCUCUGGACCGAUACUGACGCUGAGACGCGAAAGCGUGGGUAGCAAACAGGAUUAGAUACCCUGGUAGUCCACGCCGUAAACGAUGAGUACUAGGUGUUGCGGGUAUUGACCCCUGCAGUGCCGUAGCUAACGCAUUAAGUACUCCGCCUGGGAAGUACGGUCGCAAGACUAA